ACAUAAAUAAUAUAAUAAGUAUAUCAAAUUUAGAAUUUGAAAGAAUGUUUUAUGUU
rnacentral:tRNA from 1 species